CCCUUCCGGUCUGGCGCCGGGGGCGCCCGAGGGGGAGACGGAGCGGCCGGGGGCUCCCGCCGUCAUAAUAAUGCUGUGAUGCCCAUGUGGGCCUGGGACUGUGCGAUCAUGUAAUGAAAUAUGUAAAAACAUGGAUAUAUGUUCCCAAGUCCUAGAAGAACUGUGGAAGAUGGUGUGAGCUGAGUAUCUUGGCUAGGAAAUGAAGAUCUAUCACUUUCAGUUCAAGAAAAAUGGGACUAUAGGGUCUACAUAUGUGUUCUCGACCUCACACAAAGUAUGGAAAGGUUCAUUCAAAAUUUAAACGAGGGACCUGUUCUCCAAUCCGUCAUCCAGCAAAGAUAUUGCGAAUGUGAACAGAUGCCAAAACUCUACUACUCUUCAGGAAUAGUAAAGUUAGAAGAAAUGUCAAAACAACCAAAAGGCCCUCACCUGUAAUCUUUUGUUGCUCGUGCAGAAGACUCUAAUAAAGGCAGCUAGUAGUGAAUGGCUAAAGUCAACCUAUCUCGCCCCCGAAGCAAAGGGAUCAAGAGGAUACCUCAAAUCAAUUGCCUAUACAAGGAAUUGGGACAGUUUUCUCCUAAUUAUGAAAAAAAAAAACUCACAAUGGUUAAAAUUUCUAAAGUUGGGUGGACAUGCCUUCUGAAAGCUUGCAAUGAUCUAAAAGAUUAGUUCUCCCCUCCCUGCUUUAAAUGGUACACUAAGCCUUUAUGUUUGAUAGGUAAAUCCAGACCCAGAUGCAUUAUUGAGCACAAAAGGUUAUUCAGUUCAACAAAAACUACUGCCACGGACUUGCAGCUGUUGCAGAACUGUGCCAAAGAGGUUACACACACAUAUUGUUAUUUUGAUUGUUUGAACAAGAGGAUUUUCUGAUGGAUUGGCAGAGAGUUAAUCUGCUGAAUUAAACAUUAACCACAUCAGUCCACUUUAUUGUCCACGAAAUAAGAGUGGUCUGUAUAGGGUUACAGGACACCGUGGAAAUUUGGCACAUCACUUUGCGGCAAAUGAACAUACUGUUCACUUGUCACAAAGACAACUGUCACCAAGCUCCUCAAAGCAUUUAAAAGGUCAUUUAGCUCCACCCCUUCUUCAGUAUCUUCUCUCCUUUUUCUUUCCCCACCAAAGCCUAUGUUCACAGCGGGAUUGAAGCCAGAAUGUGCAAUGGUGGUUACUUUGUUUGUGUAAUAUCAAUUACGUCAGCAGAGCUCACCCAGUUAAUUCUGAACAGAUUUAUCAGUAAAAGGUUUGUAUUCUCUU